rnacentral:tRNA from 1 species
GUGCCAAUAGCUCAGUAGGAUAGAGCGACAGUUUCCUAAACUGCAGGUCGCAGGUUCAAUUCCUGUUUGGCACACCA